rnacentral:lncRNA from 13 species
GCCAAAAAUCCCUUCUCUCAGUAAUACUCUAAGGAGAAUCAAUAAGAACAAUGUGGAUUUGGGAGAUAUAAUGAUGAACCUUCAUUACUUAAUUUAACAUUCCCAGAGAAAAAGUAUCAUUAUUCUGCUUUCUCUGUAGGUUGGCUAAGUACCAAGUUGUUCAGGAAAAAUAUCUCACAACACUUCCAAUCAGAAUUCAGAGGAAAUGUCACCUACGUAAACUGCAACUUGACCAACAGUUACUUACAGAGAACCAGUUUAAGGUUUAUUUUCCACCACUGUGACUUUGUGCCCUUCUGUAAGCAUAUCAGGGAAAAGGAAGUCGAUGAUUUUACUCAUUUACUUUCUCGGUCUCUGGUGUCCUUCCUAUAAAUUUACUGCAAGAGGUUUUAUGAAUUAUAGUUACUUCCAAGGGUAUGGUGAUGAAGCAAGAAAGGCCAUGAAACAAACAAACCUCUCAAACACCUAACUGGGAAGGAAGUGGUCAUUUAUUCAGACGGGAUCUGUGGCAGCAUGGAUGCCUAACAGCUGAGCUCCCCUAACAAAGAAAAUCCCUGCUCUUUUAAAGACUUACGACUCCAGAAAUUACUUGUGAAAGGGUCUUGGGCUUACAACUCUAGAAAUUACAUGUGAAAGGGUCUUGAUCCAUGAAGUAGGCGUGGGAUACAUGACUUAGGUGAGGGUGUGAUCCUGUUUAAGUAAAAACAAUGCCUUCCAGAAAGAUUCCUCUAUACCAUGCCUGCGAUGUAUAGGAGUGUGACUAAGGGUGGUGCCCAGGUCUGCCAGCCUUUACUUCUCUUACUGAAGUGCAAUGUAUAUGUCUAGGAGGACGGGCUUUUAGAAGCUUAAGAAGUUUAAGGGUCUCCUUUCUCAGUGACUUUGUGAUAAUUUAUUGAUGUGUAGCUCCAAGAUCAUAAGUGCAGUUUUGUGUCCCUACAAUCAGUGAGAAUUUUAAAUGUGAUAUAUCUCCUUUACAUAUAGAUAUGGGUACGUAGAUACACCACUUACAGUGAGAAGGGAUAUAAGUGAUCUACAAUAAAUGAGAAACAAGUUAAAUAAAUAUACA